rnacentral:RNase_P_RNA from 1 species
ACAUUGAACCAGACUAUCGCAAGGUAAAACUUGAGGAAAGUCCGGGCUCCGCAGGGCAGAAUGCCGGAUAACAUCCGGGCAGGGGAAAAAGGCUGAUUUUUCAGAACCGGUUCCUCUGACAGAAAGCGCAACAGAAAAUAUACAGCACACGCAAAAUGCUUUGCAUCGAGCGUUGCAAUGGUGAAAUGGCGGGGUAAGAGCCCACCGGGUUUGCAGUAAUGCAAAUCGUUUUGGAGUUUGCUUGCAAACUCCGGAAGCAAAAUUCGCAAGAAUUUUGCGUUGGCAAACCUCAUUCGGAGCAAAGUCAAACAGAGGGUUAUACGGCUGCCCGUCGUAUCCUCGGGUAGGCUGCUAAAGAUAUGGGGUAACUCAUAUCGUAGACAGAUGAUUGGUCUUAAAUACAGAACCCGGCUUAUGGUUCAAUGUCUUU